GACGAACGCUGGCGGCGUGCUUAACACAUGCAAGUCGAGCGGUAAGGCUCCUUCGGGAGUACACGAGCGGCGAACGGGUGAGUAACACGUGAGCAAUCUGCCCUUCUCUUCGGAAUAAGCGUUGGAAACGACGUCUAAUGCCGAAUACGACCUCCUUUCGCAUGAUCGGAGGUGGAAAGCUCCGGCGGAGAAGGAUGAGCUCGCGGCCUAUCAGCUAGUUGGGUGGGUAAUGGCCCACCAAGGCGACGACGGGUAGCCGGCCUGAGAGGGUGACCGGCCACACUGGGACUGAGACACGGCCCAGACUCCUACGGGAGGCAGCAGUGGGGAAUCUUGCGCAAUGGGGCGAAAGCCUGACGCAGCGACGCCGCGUGAGGGAUGACGGCCUGGUG
rnacentral:rRNA from 1 species